rnacentral:rRNA from 1 species
AACGAACGCUGGCGGCAUGCCUAACACAUGCAAGUCGAACGAGACCUUCGGGUCUAGUGGCGCACGGGUGCGUAACGCGUGGGAACCUGCCCUUAGGUUCGGAAUAACUCCCCGAAAGGGGUGCUAAUACCGGAUAAUGUCUUCGGACCAAAGAUUUAUCGCCUUUGGAUGGGCCCGCGUUGGAUUAGCUAGUUGGUAGGGUAAAAGCCUACCAAGGCGACGAUCCAUAGCUGGUCUGAGAGGAUGAUCAGCCACACUGGGACUGAGACACGGCCCAGACUCUUACGGAGGGCGGAGGUGGGAAUUAUGGAACAUGGGGCGAAGGCUGAACCAGGCAAUGCCGGGGGGUUAAUAAGGGCUUUGGGGUGGUAAGCUCUUUUACCCGGGAUGAUAAUGACAGUACCGGGAGAAUAAGCUCCGGCUAACUCCGUG